GCCGGGCGCGGUGGUGAGUACCUGUAAUCCCAGCUACUCGGGAGGCUGAGGUGGGAUGAUUGCUUGAGCCCAGGAGUCCUGGGCUGUAGUGCACUAUGCUGUAGUUUAGCAUCAAUAUGGUGACCUCCUGGGAGUGGGGGACUACCAGGUUGCCUAAGGAGGGGUGCACCAGCCCAGGUUGGAAACAGAGCCGGUCAAAACUCCCAUGUUGAUCAGUAGUGGGAUCAUGCCUGUGAAUAGCCACUGCACUCCAGUCUGGGCAACAUAGCCUUGCU
ensembl:misc_RNA Metazoa_SRP Metazoan signal recognition particle RNA